rnacentral:misc_RNA from 1 species
AGCCGGGCCUGUUGCAGAUGCUGAUAGGGGCCGGUCGAGAUGCCGAACCAUCCGUCGUUGGUCAGGUUGACGAUCCAGCCGGGACGAUCGUUGCCCGGAACAAUGUCACCCGGGAAGAUCGCCUCGUAGCAGAUCAAGGGCAGCAUGCGCGGCGCAUUCGGCACCGUCAUGGUCCGCCGCCGGUCGCCCGGAAUGAAGCCGCCGCGUACCUUGGUGAUCUGCACGAAGCCGAGUUUUUCCAUCGCGGACUGAAACGGCAGGUAUUCGCCGAAUGGAACCAGAUGCAGCUUGUCGUANNNNGUAUAUCGACAGGAUGGUUCCAUCGUGAUCGAUGACAUAAAUCGAAUUGUAGGCGCGGGUG